rnacentral:rRNA from 1 species
ACUCCUACGGGAGGCAGCAGUGGGGAAUAUUGCACAAUGGGCGCAAGCCUGAUGCAGCGACGCCGCGUGGGGGAUGAAGGCCUUCGGGUUGUAAACUCCUUUCGCUAGGGACGAAGCUUUUUUGUGACGGUACCUAGAUAAGAAGCACCGGCUAACUACGUGCCAGCAGCCGCGGUAAUACGUAGGGUGCGAGCGUUGUCCGGAAUUACUGGGCGUAAAGGGCUCGUAGGUGGUUUGUCGCGUCGUCUGUGAAAUUCUGGGGCUUAACUCCGGGCGUGCAGGCGAUACGGGCAUAACUUGAGUGCUGUAGGGGUAACUGGAAUUCCUGGUGUAGCGGUGAAAUGCGCAGAUAUCAGGAGGAACACCGAUGGCGAAGGCAGGUUACUGGGCAGUUACUGACGCUGAGGAGCGAAAGCAUGGGUAGCGAACAGGAUUAGAUACCCCUGUAGUCCCAUG